GCCUGGGUGGCUCUGUCGGUUGAGCAUCUGACUUCCGCUCAGGUCACGAUCUCACGGUUUGUGAGUUCAAGCCCCAUAUCAGGCU
rfam:Felis catus isolate Cinnamon breed Abyssinian chromosome B4, whole genome shotgun sequence.